rnacentral:rRNA from 1 species
GGGAGGUAGUGACAAUAAAUAACAAUACGGGGUUCUUUCGGAUCUCGUAAUUGGAAUGAGUACAAUUUAAAUCUCUUAACGAGGAACAAUUGGAGGGCAAGUCUGGUGCCAGCAGCCGCGGUAAUUCCAGCUCCAAUAGCGUAUAUUAAAGUUGUUGCAGUUAAAAAGCUCGUAGUUGAAUUUCGGGAUCAAUUUAUCGGUCGUGCCUACGGUAUGAACUGGUACAAUUGGUUUCUCCCUUCUGACGAAGCAUGAUGUCAUUAAUUUGGUGUCGUGGGGAAUCAGGACUGUUACUUUGAAAAAUUAGAGUGUUUAAAGCAGGCUAGCGCCUGAAUACAUUAGCAUGGAAUAAUGAAAUAGGACGUUCGAACCUAUUUUGUUGGUUUCUAGGAUUGACGUAAUGAUUAAUAGGGAUAGUUGGG